ACCUACGGGGGGCAGCAAUUAGGAAUCUUGCGCAAUGGGCGAAAGCCUGACGCAGCGACGCCGCGUGACUGAUGAAGUCUUUCGGGAUGUAAAGGUCUUUUUUGGGGGAAGAAGGAUGUGACGGUACCCCAAGAAUAAGCCCCGGCUAACUACGUGCCAGCAGCCGCGGUAAUACGUAGGGGGCGAGCGUUGUCCGAAUUCACUGGGCGUAAAGCGCGCGUAGGCGGACUUCUAAGUUGGGGGUGAAAUGCCGAGGCUCAACCUCGGAACUGCCUCCAAAACUGGGAGUCUUGAGGUAUGGAGAGGGAAGUGGAAUUCCAGGUGUAGCGGUGAAAUGCGUAGAUAUCUGGAGGAACACCCGUGGCGAAGGCGGCUUCCUGGCCAUAUCCUGACGCUGAGGUGCGAAAGCUAGGGGAGCGAACGGGAUUAGAUACCCCGGUAGUCU
rnacentral:rRNA from 1 species